rnacentral:rRNA from 1 species
UAGAGUAAGAUCUUGAUCUCAUGUUCGAUCGUAUGCGGCGUGCCUAAUACAUGCAAGUCGAGCUGGACAGAACGGAGGCUAGCGUCCCGGAUGUUAUCGGCGGACGAGUGAGUGACGGGUGGAGUAACGUGCCUGGUAUGUCUGCGAUAGCUGCGGGAUAACCAGUAGCUAAUGCCUGAUAGUUCCUCGUACCGCAUGGUGCAAGGAUGAGAGACGGUUUCGGCUGUCACUUACAGAAGGACCCCCGGUGCGAUAGCUAGUUGGUGGGGUAAUGGCUCCCCAAAGCGGCGAUUCCUAACCUGCUUGAGAGGGAGAUCGACCACCCUGGGACUGAGACCCGGCUCCGACUUCUUCGGGAGGCCACCGUAGGGGAUUAUCCGCCAUGGACGAAAGUCUGGAGGCGCACAUCCGCGUGAGUGAUGAAGGUCUUCGGAUUGUAAAGCUCUGUUGUUAGGGAAGAACAAGUUCGAGAGUAAUUGCUGGCACCUUGGCGGUUCCUAGCCAGAAAAGCACGGGUAAAUUCGGUCCCACAACCGCGGUAAUACGUAGGGGGCCAACGUUUUCUGGAAUUAUUGGGCGUAAAAGGCUCGCCGGCGGUUUUUUAAAUUUGAAGGGAAAACCCCCGGGUCAACCGGGGAGGGUCCAUGGAAACUGGGCAACUUGAGUUCAGAAGAGGGGAGGGGAAUUUCCAGGGUAACGGGGAAAAGGGUAGAGAUUUGGGGGGACACCCGUGGGGAAGGGGGCUCUCUGGUCCAAAACUGACCCUGAGGAGCGAAAACGUGGGGAGCGAACAGGAUUAGAUUCCCUGGUAGUUCCCCCCGUAAACGAUGAUCGAUAAGGGUUAGGGGGCUCCACCCCUUAGUGCCGCAGCUAACGCAUAAGCAGUCCGCCUGGAUUCCCCAAAGG